AGGCGUGGAUAAAUCGGGUGAAAUCGGUGUAAUUCCGAUGCUGUGCCGCAACUGUAAAGCCAGAUCCCCGUUACCCUUCGACAAGGCUCAGGGUAAAAAAGUCUUCCGAAGCAGAA
rnacentral:ncRNA from 25 species